AUUUUUAGGUCUUUCCACCUUUCCGUGGAAAGACCUAUUGAUUUUGUUCUGAUUAUUAUUAUUUUUUUUUUGUCUUCCGCCCAAUUUUUUUUCUUGCGUAGUAUUGUUGUUUCAUCAGAUGUCGCUUACAUUUUUGGAAUAUAAUAUCACAUAGUUUAUUCGCUUUAAAAAUUCACAACCACGUAACAAAAUACUUUACAUUGUAAGAGUUAUCUCCCCAAACACUGUUUUCCUUGUGGCCACUAUUCCUUCGCAACCGUAAAAGAUUACGACAAAUUUAUUUU
rnacentral:lncRNA from 1 species